rnacentral:rRNA from 1 species
GACGAACCGUGCGAACGUUAUUCGGAAUCACUGGGCUUAAAGCGCGUGUAGGCGGGAGGGCACGUCCGUCGCUGAAAUCCCCCGGCUCAACCGGGGAACGGGCGCGGAUACGACCUUCCUUGAGGGGCGUAGGGGGACCUGGAACUUCCGGUGGAGCGGUGAAAUGCGUAGAGAUCGGCAGGAACACCCAGGGGGAAACCAGCCGACUGGGCAUUUGCUGACGCUGAGGUGCGAGAGCGUGGGGAGCGAACCGG